CAGAAUAUAGUUUAAUAAAAAUUUUAAUUUUGGAGAUUAAAGAUAAAUUUAAUUUUAUUCUGA
rnacentral:tRNA from 1 species